UACGGAGGGAGCUAGCGUUGUUCGGAAUUACUGGGCGUAAAGCGCAUGUAGGCGGCUAUUCAAGUCAGAGGUGAAAGCCUGGAGCUCAACUCCAGAACUGCCUUUGAAACUAGAUAGCUUGAAUCCAGGAGAGGUGAGUGGAAUUCCGAGUGUAGAGGUGAAAUUCGUAGAUAUUCGGAAGAACACCAGUGGCGAAGGCGGCUCACUGGACUGGUAUUGACGCUGAGGUGCGAAAGCGUGGGGAGCAAACAGG
rnacentral:rRNA from 1 species